GUACACCUACGGGGGGCAGCAGUAGGGAAUCUUCCACAAUGGACGAAAGUCUGAUGGAGCAACGCCGCGUGAGUGAAGAAGGGUUUCGGCUCGGAAAGCUCUGUUGGUAGUGAAGAAAGAUAGAGGUAGUAACUGGCCUUUAUUUGACGGUAAUUACUUCGAAAGUCACGGCUAACUACGUGCCAGCAGCCGCGGUAAUACGUAGGUGGCAAGCGUUGUCCGGAUUUAUUGGGCGGUAAGCGAG
rnacentral:rRNA from 1 species